rnacentral:rRNA from 1 species
UACGUAGGGUGCGAGCGUUGUCCGGAAUUAUUGGGCGUAAAGGGCUCGUAGGCGGUCUGUCGCGUCGGGUGUGAAAACUCAGGGCUUAACCCUGAGCCUGCUUCCGAUACGGGCAGACUAGAGGUAUGCAGGGGAGAACGGAAUUCCUGGUGUAGCGGUGGAAUGCGCAGAUAUCAGGAGGAACACCGGUGGCGAAGGCGGUUCUCUGGGCAUUAACUGACGCUGAGGAGCGAAAGUGUGGGGAGCGAACAGG